ACCUUAGAGAACAACUAAGUUUGUUCUGGGUAUAAGCUUUCAUGUGCAUAUGAAAGCUUAUACCCAGAACAAACUUAGUUGGUCUCUAAGGU